UCCCUGGUGGCUCAGCUGGUAAAGAAUCUGCCUGCAAUGCAGGAGACCCAAGUUUGAUUCCUGGGUUGGGAA
rfam:Ovis aries breed Texel chromosome 17, whole genome shotgun sequence.